rnacentral:lncRNA from 1 species
AAUUUUUGUAUUUUUUAGUAGAGACGAGAUUUCACUAUAUGUUGGCCAGGCUGGUCUCGAACUCCUGACCUCAAGUUAUCUGCCUGCCUUGGCCUCCCAAAGUGCUGGGAUUGCAGGUAUGAGCCACCAUGCCUGGCCAGAGUUUAACUUCUAAUAUGAGUAUGAUUAUUCAUAAUUUAUUUAAUGAAAUAUAAAUCAUGGGCUAUUAUUAAAGUUCACAGCUACUUAAGUGGUAUCUUAUUUAGAAGUAGAUUUAUUGAUCAGAAGAUUGAAAGAUACUUAAACGUCAGACAAAUACCCAUGACUAUAUCAUCAUUUUUAUGAACUAAAUGUUAAGAACUGUGAAUGGUCCAAGAUUUUGCCCCUUCUGCAAAUCAGCUUGCCAUAGUCUCAUGGAUGCUGCCAGAAGACACAAGAGUCUUGGGUCAGAGACAAAAAUCUUCAUUACAGCACAGCAGGCCACAUAUGCUUCAUGCUCAUGUUGGUUCCUGAGUUUGUUUCCUACUGCUGUUGUAACGAAUUACCACAAAUUUAGUGACUUAGAGCAACACAAAUUUAUUCUCUUCCAGUUCUAGAGUAGACAAGUCUAAAAUCAGUUUCAGUGGGCUAAAAUCAAGGUGUUAGCACAGCAGCAUUCCAUCUGGAGGCUCUCAGGAUUAAUCAGUUUUCUUGCCUUUUCUAUCUUCCAGGGGUUGCUCCCACUCUGUGGCUCCUCUUCUUCCACUUUACAUCUCUGUCUUUAACCAUCCUGCUUCUCUCUUAUAAGGACCUUUGUGAUUACAUUGGGUUACCUAAGAUGAUCUCCCCAUCUUGAGAUCCUUCAUUUAAUCACAUCUGUAAAGUGUGUGCCUUUUGCCACAUAAGGCUACAUAUUGACAGGUUUCAGGGAUUAGGAUGUGGACAUGCUUGGGGAACCAUUAGCCUGCUAGUCUUCCCUUUGGCCCCAAAGGUUUAUAUCCAUUCUAUAUGCACAAUACAUACACCCCAUCCCAAUAUACUCCACAGUCUCAAUUCAUUAUAGAAUCAAUUCAAAGUCACAUGUAUUACCUAAAUCUUAUCAGCUUAAAAGUCCCAAAUCUUAUUAUCUUAACCAUCUAAUUUCAGUAUUAGUGAGAUCCUGGGUAUGAUUCAUCCUGGGGAAAAACUCUCCAUCUGUGGACCUGUAAAACUAGAAAAUAAGUUAUUUUCUCCCAAAAUACAAUGAUGUGACCGACAUAAGAUACUAGUUACUAAUAGUUGUCUUUCAGUAUAUGCAGGGGAUUGGUUCCAGGCCCCCUGUAUACACCAAAAUCCUAGCAUACUUAAGUUCCACAGUAGGUCCUGCAGAACCCGUGUAUAUGAAAAUUAGCUCUCCGUAUAGGUGGGUUUCGCAUCCCAAGAAUACUGUAUUUUCAAUCCCCAUUUGGUUGAAAAAAAAUCUGCAUACAAGUGGACACGUGCAGUUCAACCCUAUGUUGUUCAAGGAUCAACCGUAUUCCCAUUCCAAAAAGGAGAAAAUGGAAGGAAAAAAUGAAUCAUCAGUCCCCAAAAUAACAAAUCCUUCAAACUGGGAAAACUGUUAAGCUGCAAGGCCUGGAAAUAGUCUUUUGUGACUUCUGGCUACAUUCUCUGGGCCUGAAGCUCCACUCUUGGAAUCAUCUUUUCUUUUUCUUGAAAGGUACAAUGUGUUUUUAGCUGAGUAGUUUUAUCAGCCUUUUUUUCUGCAUGUAGAAUUUUGGGAGUCUGAUAGCCUUCAUUUAUCUUGCCCUCACUCUGUCCAUUUCAGUUGAAGUUGUUAUCAGUGCCCUGGGUUCUUGUAAUCUUCCAGUAUAGACAUCAAGAGAGAUCACCAAACAUAGGAGCAAAGAGAAAGAGAGAGAAUAGGGCAAGAAAAAUAGAGAGAGAGAAAGAAAAAGGGAAUGGGGACUUAUCCUAUGUAGGAACUUGACUCACCGAGGCACCAGGGUGAAACAAUGGUGCAGCUGCCUUGGUUUGUGCCUGGUCAGCCAUCUCUGUCGUCUGGGCUGUGCCAUUUGCUCCCACAGGACCCUAAAAUGAGGGUUCUAUCUGGAGUGCCAUGAGAUGUAAUCAGCACCCUGGGUUCUUGUAAUCUUCCAGGAUGGAAAUACAGAUCACCAGACAUAACAGCAAAGAGAAAGAGAAAGCUUUAUUUUAGCUUGUACACAAGGAAGUCAGCACUGCACAAGGAAAAGGGCAGGCUGCUCCCUGAGGGUAGUAUGUGAGUCAGUUUUACAGGGCCUUUCCAUAGAUAAGUGUUUUAUCAGGGCAUGUAUAGGAGGAGUUUCUCUAGCGCUUGGGCAGUGGCUUCACAUGCUUCUUUGUACAUCACAUGUCACAAUACAUUUUAAAUCUCCACCCCUGGUAGUGACUUAGUGACUUUUAGCAUUAAAAUGAGGAAGGGGUAGCUAUGAGUUGAAGUUUAAGUCUAAGUAUGCAUAUGGGGCCUCAGGGAAGUCCCUAAUCCCUUAAAGCAGGAACUUGCGGUUAACAGCUUCUUGGAUCUUCUUUUGCUGAUUGGCUGGAAGUUAGGUCUCACAGUGUGGAGAAGCAAGGGCUCAAGGAGAUGCUGUGCACACAGUGGGUUGGCAUCAUGGCUGAGGAACCCUGAGCUUAGGGGAACCCUGUGUUUUGACAAUGGGUUGCAAGCAAACCUCCCUGGCCUUUACCUCAGAAGGAGAUAUUAUCUUUGUUAUGCUGGAUAGUAAAUAAACCUGCUCUAUGCUCCAGAGGGAGACACUAUCUCCAUCUUCCAAGGCUGUUCACUUUGCAAACAUUGUUGAAUAGACAGCUGAGACAAAGGCUGUCAGUUUUCCCCUGCUCACUUUACAUGCAGAAACCUGAGAGGCCUUUGGAAACUGCCUCCCAAACCUAAAAUGAUCAAAGAGUAUAUUGCAUAAGUCACUGGGGAUUUUUGAAAAAGAGGCAACUUUGAAGAAGUUGUGAAAAGAAUGCAGGUGACUUUUUAAAUGCCUGAAUUUCUCUUUUAGAGAUAUACAACCACCUCAGGUUAAAUUCAAUGGAUUUUUUCCCUUCUGAAAGCUGCCAAGACUUUGCCAAAAUAUAUACUGUGUAUGUGAGCUAUUUUAUUACCUACUGAAAAAUUGUCUAUUAUUGGUAGAACAAUAAUCCAUCCUGUCACCCAGAAAAGAUGUGUAGUAGAAAUAGAAAGUCUUUAUGUCUAGGCCAGGCUUUUAGAUAUAUUGAGAGAGGCGACUUCAGGCAGCCUGUGAUCAGAGGUGUUGAGUUGGCAGCUUGUGCUGAUUCUCGAGGCAGAUGUGUGUGAGUGGCACAGAGAAAAUAUUCUUGUCUUUCUAUGGAGUUGGAGCUUUUGAAUAAAUUUUGCAGAAAACUUGGGAUCCUCAGCUAAGAACAAUCCUUGGGAAGUUCAUCUGCAACUGUAUACCUAGUGAGAGGUCUCCAGAGAAAUACGCCUGCCUUGGGAAGAAUGUGUGUACAUUUUAAGGAAACAUAGUUCAUAAAAUCCAUACUGGAGAGAGAGGUAUUUACAUUUCUAGGAUCUUUUCCACCUGUUCUCUAUGGAGUAAAGUUUUUUCUUCCUCAUGUUUUGCCUCUUUAUCCUGUAUAUAAACAGAGAAACUCUGUUUUUCUCCAUCCCUCGUCUAGGAUACAGAUGUUGUAUGUAUAGGAGAUUUUAACCUAGUUUGCAAUGUUACUUCAGGGGUAGAAUUGGGACGUGAGGGACCAUGUGGUUAUGGAUGGCUUUUAAAAUGAAUAAUGAGAAUCUGAACCUACCCAGAUAACCUUGGGUAUACAUUUAUGAUAAAAUUAAUAAAGACAAAUGUUAAAAAUUUAACACAAAUGUUGUUCGACUUCAUUCCAAAAACACCUCAUUAGAUAGCAGAAUAGUGUCAA